CAGAGCCCGAGGCGAAGCUUAAGUGCUUAUGCUUUUUCAGGAGGUACAGACCCAGCUCUGCGAGAGCCAGGGGAAAAGGAAGAGAGGCAGGGAAGGAAUGGCAGCAGGUACAAGGUGAUGAAUGACUGCACUGGCCAUUGCUUCAUGAAGAGCCAUGAAAAAAGAGCCGGUUUCUCAGCAGGUGGCUGGCUGCUCAGUCACAAAGGACCUCUUUGGACAGGCUUUAUGGAAAUACUGUGCCUAGGACAGUCCCUCAAAGGCAGGAGGGAGAGAAAAUGCAUCUGCAAGCUCACUUUGUCUUCUUUCUUCUGCUGGUCAAAAUUUGCUGGCUGGGGCAGUUAACGCCCUCACACAUCCGAGUUGUGUCACCUGGCCCCUUUGGUAGCCACUGGGGAAGCCAGAUCUAGGCAUGUGGCCUGAUGGCUCCUGCGGUGGAACCACACGCUCACACUCGGUCAGUCACCACUGGGAUGGCCUGGGCAGGGCAGGCUGAGUGGCUGGGAGACAGCUGAGCCAAAGAUAUCUAAGCAAGCACCUGUGAUGUAUGCACUGCAGUGUCCAAAUGUGAAAAAGCAAGAAAGGGAGAUAGAAGCAUAUUUUUUUCUGGAGAGAAGGAGGAAACCACCAGGAGAAUACAAACGGAAAAAAGAUGGAGUUGAGCUCUGUCACCCAGGCUGGAGUGCAGUGGCACCAUCUCAGCUGACUGUGACCUCCGCCUCCUGAGUUCAAGUGAUUCUCCUGCAUCAGCCUCCCCAGUAGCUGGGACUACAGAAUAUCAGCUUCCUGAGAGUGUAAAGCUCAUGUCUGUUCUGCUAUCUGCUGGUGCCUGACACAGUGACUGCCAUAUGAGAAGAGCCCCUAAAAUAGUGAAAUAAAUGAAGAAUCACAUGAGUGAAAUCCUCAUGGUACCUGAGUAUGGGCAAAGCUGGAAAACAGUGAUGGAGUUUUCCAUAGCAGCAUCCUAAGAAGACACCCUUGAGCAGGUGAGAACGCAUUUUGAGGACAUCAGCAAACACAGCCUAAGAGGGGCUUAAAUGGUGAUAUCACCUGGGCUUGCUUUCUCAGGUACUCUUUUAUAAGGAUGUAAUUCACAGCUGUCCCAAGAAGACUCACCAGGAACACUGUUAAUAACUGCCUUAGAAGCAUUUUGUGAUCUAUCAUUUAGGAUAUUUGUUUAGUUGCUGUAACAGGUACCAAGUAACAAUGGCUUAAACAAGAUGGUCUGUCUUUCAAAUAAACGUCCAGCUGGUAGGCAGCCCAGGAAAGGUGGGCUGCUCUGCUUCAUGUGAUGGUCUGAGGACCCUUAUGCCUUCUGUUUUGUUGCCUUGCCAUCCUCCAGGGUGUUGUCCUAUCCAUAUGACUGAGUUAAAUGCCCACCAUUAUGUCUGCAUUCCAGCCUCAAGAAAGAGGAAAGAAGAAAGGGAGAGCAUGCAACUUUCUUUUAAGGAUGUGACCUAGAAGUGACAUACAUCACUUAGGCUCACAUGCCAUUGGUGGGAACUUAGUCAUAUGGCCACACCUAGUUGCAAGUGAGGCUGGGAUAUGUCAUCUCUAGAUGGACAAUCAUGUACCUCCCAAAAACUUGGGGAUUACUAUUACCAAAAGGAAGAAAGAAAAUAUGAAUGGGUGGGAUUGGCAGUCUCUCAUCAGUGGGAAAGCAUCAUGACUGAUGCUGAGAAACUCUUUGCCGAAGUUUAUGACCUAUAUAUGUAACUCCAUAUUACUGACAAUGUGCAUCACAGGGUGUGGUAGGUGGCUUCUAAAAUGACCCCAAAUGAUUCCUGUGUCCUGGUACUCAAGCCCUUGUGUAAUCCCUUUUUCUUGAAUGACUUCCUUCAAGUUAAUAGGCUGCCACUUCUAUGAUUAGAUUAUUAAAGAUGUACCUCCAUUUUCCUAGCAGACUUUAUUGCCUUUGCAGCUUGCAAGCUUUGAUGAAGCAGCCAUGUUGGGGAGGCCCAUAUGGCAAGAAACCAAAGUCAGUCUCCAGGCAAUAGCCAACAAAGAACUGAGGUCCUCAGUCCAAUAGCCUACAAAGAACUGAAUCCUACCAAUAACCACUUGAGUUUGGAAAUGGAACCCUUACCAAUCGAGCCUUCAGAUUAGACCCCAGCCUUGGUUGACACCUUCACUGUAGCCUUAUGAAAGAUCCUGAAGCAGAUGAUGCAACUAAACUGUGCCUGGACUUCUGAUGCACAGAACCUGUGAGAUAAUAAAUACUGCCAGCUCCAUGACAGCAAGAACCUUGUAUGACUUUUUCAUGAUGGAUGUUCAUCUGUGCCAUCUGUAAAUAUUUAAUUAAUAUUUGUGGAAUACAUGAAUCCAAAAGUGAAUGGAAUGAUGAAGAGGGAAAGGAUCAUGACAUCUACUACAGCAUUUGGCACAGACCCAGGUUUCCCUGGUACCGGUAAUUCCCAGCAGCUUUCUACAAUUCCAAAGGUCAGAAAUAAACUGCCAAAAAAAUUUUACUAAAUCAUGUUCUGUUCUGGGAUACAGCCCUGAAAUGCACUUUAAGCAAGAAAGACUUUGUAGACGAGAAAAAAGGUAGACCAAUGAGGAUUGGUCUAGAACCAGAGGAAAGUGAACAUUCUUGGUUUAGAUAAAUAUCCACAACCUUCUAAGUUUUUCAUGUGUACUACAGAGAAGCUCCAGGCUCCUACACUUCCCUGUGGGUAGUUUUAAAAAGCUAUUGUAGCAAAACAGAGGCUGGUGGUGACUAUGCUUAUCUUUUAGAAGAGCCAUCAUUGCAUUUCUGCAGCACAGAAUAUAUAUGUGUUUUUUACUCUUAGUGGUGGGGUUUAUAUGUGACUCAUGAUGUUUAGUUGUUAAUCAUCCAAUGACACUAAAUACUGCUUAGUUAGCUCAGUAUUCCCUUUAGGAACCCAGAUAUUGCUAAAGUCACCGUUCGACUUAAUGGGGAAAAUUCCACUAACAUAUAAAAUAUGUGAUUUAUAAUUCAAAAAUGUAAAUCUUGUAUUGGUAUUACAUACUAUAAAAGGACAAUUAUCUACAUAACUACAUAACACGCAUGUAAGGAUCAAUAUUUAAUUAAGACUAUUGCUGUAUUAUCAUUGGGAGUUAGAGCCCAAUAUUCUCAAUUGGGUGAGAAUUUCAACCA